rnacentral:rRNA from 1 species
CUCUAGCUAAUGCCGGAUGAGACCACGAUCCUUCGGGGUUGCGGCCAAAGAUGGCCUCUACUUGUAAGCUAUCGCUGAGGGAUGGGCCUGCGGGCCAUUAGCUUGUUGGUGAGGUAACGGCUCACCAAGGCUGUGAUGGCUAGCUGGUCUGAGAGGAUGACCAGCCACACUGGGACUGAGACACGGCCCAGACUCCUACGGGAGGCAGCAGUGGGGAAUAUUGCGCAAUGGGCGAAAGCCUGACGCAGCGACGCCGCGUGGGUGAUGAAGGCCUUCGGGUCGUAAAGCCCUGUCGCAGGGGAAGAAUAAGCAUCGGUAUAAUACGCCGGUGCCCUGACGGUACCCUGCAAGAAAGCACCGGCUAACUCCGUG